rnacentral:lncRNA from 1 species
AGGCAGCUCGCUCUGAAGGCCUGUUUCCUAGGCUACAUACGAGGGACAUGUUCCUUAUCCUUUCGCCUAGGGGAAAGUCCCCGGACCACGGGCAGAGAGUGCCGCGUGCACACGCGCGUAGACUUCCCCCGCAAGUCACUGUUAGCCCGCCAAGAAGCGACCCCUCCGGGGCGAGCUGAGCGGCGUGCAGCGGGGCGUCAUCCGUCAGCUCACAUAGUGACGCAGGCAGUGCGACCUGGCUCGCACCAACCACACGGGGCUCAUUCUCAGCGCGGCUACAC